rnacentral:lncRNA from 1 species
AAGAGUUCAGUUUAGGGUUUAAAACCCUAAUGCUGACUAAAGUAAAAGUUCAGUUUAGGGUUUAAAACCCUAAUGCUGACUAAAGGGAAAAAGUUCAGUUCAGGGUUUAAAACCAUAAUGCUGACUAAAGGAGAAGUUCAGUUUAGGGUUUAAAAUCCUAAUGCUGACUAAAGGAAAAGUUCAGUUUAGGGUUUAAAACCCUAAUGCUGACUAAAGGAAAAGUUCAGUUUAGGGUUUAAAACCCUAAUGCUGACUAAAGGAAAGAGUUCAGUUCAGGGUUUAAAACCUUAAUGCUGACUAAAGGAAAGAGUUUAGUUUAGAGUUUAAAACCCUAAUGCUGACUAAAGGAAAAGUUCAGUUUAGGGUUUAAAACCCUAAUGCUGACUAAAGGAAAGAGUUCAGUUCAGGGUUUAAAACCCUAAUGCUGACUAAAGGAAAGAGUUCAGUUCUGGGUUUAAAACCCUAAUGCUGACUAAAGGAAAGAGUUCAGUUUAGGGUUUAAAACCCUAAUGCUGACUAAAGGAAAGAGUUCAGUUUAGGGUUUAAAACUCUAAUGCUGACUAAAGGACGGAGUUCAGUUUAGGGUUUAAAAUCCUAAUGCUGACUAAAGGAAAGAGUUCAGUUCAGGGUUUAAAACCCUAAUGCUGACUAAAGGAAAGAGUUCAGUUCAGGGUUUAAAACCCUAAUGCUGACUAAAGGAAAGAGUUCAGUUUAGGAUUUAAAACUCUAAUGCUGACUAAAGGAAAAGUUCAGUUCAGGGUUUAAAACCCUAAUGGUGACUAAAGGAAAGAAUUCAGUUCAGGGUUUAAAACCCUAAUGCUGACUAAAGGAAAGAGUUCAGUUUAGGGUUUAAAACUCUAAUGCUGACUAAAGGAAAAGUUCAGUUUAGGGUUUAAAACCCUAAUGCUGACUAAAGGAAAGAGUUCAGUUCAGGGUUUAAAACCCUAAUGCUGACUAAAGGAAAGAGUUCAGUUCAGGGUUUAAAACCCUAAUGCUGACUAAAGGAAAGAGUUCAGUUCAGGGUUUAAAACCCUAAUGCUGACUAAAGGAAAGAGUUCAGUUUAGGGUUUAAAACCCUAAUGCUGACUAAAGGAAAAGUUCAGUUUUGGGUUUAAAACCCUAAUGCUGACUAAAGGAAA